rnacentral:miRNA from 12 species
UGGGGUUUCAAAGCGGCAUUUGC